UUAUAACUAUUCCAAACCUCUGUGAACCGUGCCCUUCGGGGCUAUUUUACAAACAUGGUGUAAUGAACGUCAUAUAUCAUAACAAAACAAAACUUUCAACAACGGAUCUCUUGGCUCUCGCAUCGAUGAAGAACGCAGCGAAAUGCGAUAAGUAAUGUGAAUUGCAGAAUUCAGUGAAUCAUCGAAUCUUUGAACGCACCUUGCGCCCUCUGGUAUUCCGGAGGGCAUGCCUGUUUGAGUGUCAUGUAGACUCAAUCCCUCGGGUUUCCGAGGAGAUUGGACUUGGGUGUUGCCGCUCUGCCGGCUCGCCUUAAAAGACUUAGCGGGAUAGCACCGUAGUCGGCGUAAUAAGUUUCGUCGGUGAAGGUUGUGAUGACUGCUUACAAUCGCCCUCGGGCAAUUUUUGACUCUGACCUCAAAUCAGGUAGGACUACCCGCUGAACUUAAGCAUAUCAAUAAGCGGAGGA
rnacentral:rRNA from 1 species